GGGUGCUUAGCUCAAUGGUUAGAGCAGUCGGCUCAUAACCGAUUGGUUGCAGGUUCAAGUCCUGUAGCACCCA
rnacentral:tRNA from 1 species